GAUGAACGCUAGCGGCAGGCUUAAUACAUGCAAGUCGAGGGGCAGCAGGGUGGUAGCAAUACCACUGCUGGCGACCGGCAAACGGGUGCGGAACACGUACGCAACUUACCCUGAACUGGGGGAUAGCCCGGGGAAACCCGGAUUAAUACCCCGUAACACUUAGCGGUGGCAUCACCGCUUAGUUAUAGCUCCGGUGGUUCAGGAUGGGCGUGCGGCUGAUUAGGUAGUUGGUUGGGGUAACGGCCCACCAAGCCAACGAUCAGUAACUGGUGUGAGAGCACGACCAGUCAAACGGGCACUGCGACACGGUCCCGACUCCUACGGGAGGCAGCAGUAAGGAAUAUUGGGCAAUGGAGGCAACUCUGACCCAGCCAUGCCGCGUGGAGGAUGAAGGCCCUCUGGGUUGUAAACUUCUUUUACCUGGGACGAAACCACCUUUUUCUAAGGGUGUUGACGGUACCAGGGGAAUAAGCACCGGCUAACUCCGUGCCAGCAGCCGCCGUAAAAC
rnacentral:rRNA from 1 species